GGGCGGGCGGCGGGUGGGGAUGCGCUCGGAAGAGGGGGCCGGAGGCCUGAGCACGGCCCUGUCUGCGCGGGGCCCCAGCUGGAGGGAGAAACUGUCAGCCGCGGAGGUCCCGUUCCGCCGCGAGUCGCCGCGGAGGGACACCGCAGUGGCCCCAACCCAGUCCUUCAGUGACAGCGGGGCGGGCAAGCCUCGCGACGACAAGAGGACGGCCCUGAGCAAGGUGGUGCUCCGGCGGCUGCCCCCCGGCCUCACCAAAGAGCAGCUGGAAGAGCAGCUGCGCCCCCUGCCUGCGCACGAUUACUUCGAGGUGGUAGCUGCGGAUCUCAGUCUCUAUCCUCAUCUCUACUCAAGAGCUUACAUUAAUUUUCGGAACCCUGAUGACAUCCUUCUGUUCAGAGACCGCUUUGAUGGGUAUAUCUUCAUCGGCAGUAAAGGCCUGGAGUACCCCGCAGUGGUGGAGUUUGCUCCAUUCCAGAAGAUUGCCAAAAAGAAGCUGAGGAAAAAAGAUGCCAAGACUGGAAGCAUUGAAGAUGACCCAGAAUAUAAACAGUUUCUGGAAACAUACAGUCUGGAGGAAGAAAAAUCCAGUGCUAGUCCUGAGACACUUCUGGGAGAGAUAGAAGUGAAGACAAGAGAACUCCUUGCCAGAAGAACCACACCUCUUUUGGAAUAUAUUAAAAAUAGAAAACUAGAAAAACAGAGAAUUCGAGAAGAAAAGCGUGAAGAGCGGAGGAGGAGGGAGCUGGAGAAGAAGCGUUUGCGGGAGGAAGAGAAGAGGAAAAGGCGAGAGGAGGAGCGGUGUAAGAGGAAAGAGGCGGACAGACAGAAAAGGACCGAGAAGGAAGUGAAGAUUAAGCUUCUUAAAAAGCUGGAAACAGAAGAAGCAACCACAGAGAAACCCAAAGAAAGAGGUGACUCAGUUGGUACUGGAGACGAAAAGCAGGAAUCCCGGCCAGUGGAAAGCCUGCCAGAGACACCUGCAGAGAGGUUUUGACAGAUGCCUAAAUGUCACCAAAAUGAAGAAGAGAGACUCUCCGUGUGAUUAUGUGACCAACCAGGCAUUUGAACAACAAGACUGAUUUGACCGAUUUUCCCUGACACAGGUAAUCCUUACUUUGGGGAUCUCCACGCAGCAGCCGGCAGCUCUGGUUCUUUCUGGAAACUUGGUAGAUUCCCCAGACCUGCCUCAGGACUCCUGCAUCAGUGCUGUCAGUGUACAGUCCCCUCUACCCUCCAGAGCACUAUAAAUUCUGUCCAGGACUUGUACACACCCCUGUGUUCCCCAAAGGUGACAAACAGCCUCACUUAGAGUGACAAGUGGCAGCAUGAACGACAUCGCCCGAUUGCUGCUUGACAAAGUUCCAGCGUUUCCACGUGGAGACCACACUUCUCCAGCACCUUUUUAUUAAUGACUCUCACUAUGUCAUUGUCCUUUGGGAAAUUUUAUGAGGGCGUGGAAGGAAGAAAACAUACAAAAGGCAGCCUCUUUAAAUAAAAUAAUUCUUUGGGGAAAAACAAUCCCCACCACCGUGGAACCAGGAAUCCCACAGUGCCCACGUAAUUACACCAAGAACUAGAAAGUUAGAGAUUUACUAGACACACCUGACCCCAAAGAUGAAAUGCCUACAAUUCAGACCCAGAGCCUGAGGCCAUUAAGAGCAAGAGUUCAGUUAGUAAGUAUAGAGAAAUCAGAAUGGUACAGUACAAUGGAAAGAGAGUAAGUUAUCAAGACCUUCCCUUUGGGGGGUGUAGGAGGAGAACAGGGCCAUGAAUAAGACUAAGACACAGCCGGGCGUUGGUGGCGCACGCCUUUAAUCCCAGCACUCGGGAGGCAGAGGCAGGCGGAUCUCUGUGAGUUCGAGGCCAGCCUGGUCUACAGAGCGAGUUCCAGGACAGCCUCCAAAACAACACAGAGAAACCCUGUCUCGAAACCCCCCCCCCAAAAAAAAGACUAAGACACAAAGGGACGCAAUUAGGGAGCAUCAGUGCUUAUCCCCUUGAGGAAUGAAAAUUGCUCUUAAGUUGUUGUAGUCAAGUGUCUGGUCCCUGGACGAAGUCCUUUGCCAAGGUCAGGCAUGUGGGUGCUUGAGAAAAGCCCGUGCUUGCUAGAGGAACUUGUGGCCCUCAUUAACAUGACUUGUGCCCUCUGUCAAGGUCAAUGCCAGAUUCCUCAGCCCCCCCAAUCUCAAAGCCACACUCACAUUUAAUCCUAUGUGCAACUCUAGAGUAUAAAAGGUGUACUGUUUUUCUAAUAAAUGCUGCUGGAAGCCA